UACGUAGGGGGCUAGCGUUGUCCGGAAUUACUGGGCGUAAAGGGCUCGUAGGCGGCCAACUAAGUCAGACGUGAAAUCCCUCGGCUUAACCGGGGAACUGCGUCUGAUACUGGAUGGCUUGAGUUUGGGAGAGGGAUGCGGAAUUCCAGGUGUAGCGGUGAAAUGCGUAGAUAUCAGGAGGAAUACCAGCGGCGAAGGCGGCGCUCUGGGCCGGUACUGACGCUGAGGAGCGAAAGCGUGGGGAGCAAACAGG
rnacentral:rRNA from 1 species